rnacentral:rRNA from 1 species
AUUGAACGCUGGCGGCAGGCCUAACACAUGCAAGUCGAACGAGUGGCGGACGUGUGAGUAAUGUCUGGGAAACUGCCUGAUGGAGGGGGAUAACUACUGGAAACGGUAGCUAAUACCGCAUACCAUCAGAUCUUCCCAGAUUGGAUUAGCUUGGUGGUGGGGUAACGGCUCACCAAGGCGACGAUCCCUAGCUGGUCUGAGAGGAUGACCAGCCACACUGGGAAGGAGACACGGUCCAGACGCCGACGGGAGGCAGCAGUGGGGAAUCUUGCACAAUGGGCGCAAGCCUGAUGCAGCCAUGCCGCGUGUAUGAAGAAGGCCUUCGGGUUGUAAAGUACUUUCAGCGGGGAGGCGUUACCCGCAGAAGAAGCACCGGCUAACUCCGUGCCAGCCGCCGCGGUAAUUC